rnacentral:rRNA from 1 species
GACGAACGCUGGCGGCGUGCUUAACACAUGCAAGUCGAACGGAAAGGCCCGGCGUUUGUGGGGUGCUUGAUUGGCGAACGGGUGAGUAACACGUGAGUAACCUGCCCUUGUCUUUGUGAUAACUUCUGGAAACUGGGGCUAAUACCGGAUAGGAGCUCCUGCUGCAUGGUGGGGGUUGGAAAGUUUCGGCGGUUGGGGCUGGACUCGCUGCUUAUCAGCUUGUUUGUGGGGUAGUGGCUUACCAAGGCUUCGACGGAUAGCCGGCCUGGGAGGGUGACCGGCCACCUUGGGACUGAGGUACGGCCCAGACGCCUACGGGAGGCAGCAGUGGGGAAUAUUGCAGAAUGGGCGGAAGCCUGAUGCAGCAACGCCGCGUGCGGAAUGACGGCCUUCGGGUUGUAAACCGCUUUCGCCUGUGACGAAGCGUGAGUGACGGUAAUGGGUAAAGAAGCAACGGCUAACUACGUG